rnacentral:rRNA from 1 species
GGAGGCAGCAGUGAGGAAUAUUGCACAAUGGGGGAAAGCCUGAUGCAGCAACGCCGCGUGGGUGAUGAAGGCCUUCGGGUUGUAAAACCCUUUUCUGGGGGACGAGAAAGGACGGUACCCCAGGAAUAAGUCCCGGCUAACUACGUGCCAGCAGCCGCGGUAACACGUAGGGGGCGAGCGUUAUCCGGAUUUACUGGGCGUAAAGCGCGUGCAGGCGGCUUGGUAGGUUGGACGUGAAAGCUCCUGGCUCAACUGGGAGAGGCCGUUCAAUACCGCCAGGCUCGAGGUCGGAAGAGGGGAGCGGAAUUCCCGGUGUAGUGGUGGAAU